rnacentral:rRNA from 1 species
AUUGAACGCUGGCGGCAGGCCUAACACAUGCAAGUCGAACGAGUGGCGGACGGGUGAGUAAUGUAUGGGAAACUGCCAGAUGGAGGGGGAUAACUACUGGCAACGGUAGCUAAUACCGCAUACCAUCGGAUGUGCCCAGAUGGGAUUAGAUGGUAGGGGAGGUAACGGCUCACCUAGGCGACGAUCCCUAGCUGGUCUGAGCGGAUGACCAGCCACACGUGAACUUAGACACGGUCCAGACGCCUACGGGAGGCAGCAGUGGGGAAUAUGGCACAAUGGGAGCAAGCCUGAUGCAGCCAUGCCGCGUGUAUGAAGAAGGCCUUCGGGUUGUAAAGUACUUUCAGCGGGGAGGCGUUACCCGCAGAAGAAGCACCGGCUAACUCCGUGCCAGCAGCCGCGGUAAUAC